rnacentral:rRNA from 1 species
GAUCAUGGCUCAGGAUGAACGCUAGCGGCAGGCUUAANCAUGCAAGUCGAGGGGUAGAGGUUGCUUGCAACCUUGAGACCGGCGCACGGGUGCGUAACGCGUAUGCAAUCUACCUUAUACAGGGGAAUAGCCCAGAGAAAUUUGGAUUAAUGCCCCAUAGUGUUAUCGAAUCGCAUGGUUUGAUAACUAAAGUUCCAACGGUAUAAGAUGAGCAUGCGUCCCAUUAGUUAGUUGGUAAGGUAACGGCUUACCAAGACAAUGAUGGGUAGGGGUCCUGAGAGGGAGAUCCCCCACACUGGUACUGAGACACGGACCAGACUCCUACGGGAGGCAGCAGUGAGGAAUAUUGGUCAAUGGGCGCAAGCCUGAACCAGCCAUGCCGCGUGCAGGAAGACGGUCCUAUGGAUUGUAAACUGCUUUUAUACAGGAAGAAACCCUCCCACGUGUGGGAGCUUGACGGUACUGUAGGAAUAAGGAUCGGCUAACUCCGUG